UGUUCAGCUAAAAUACAACAUUAACCAGGAUACUUUGAAGAUAAUGGUGGCCACAUUAUUAAAUUCUGCCAGUUAGGUCUGGUGAACUGAAAAAAGUGAUGUGUAGAAUUUCUUGGAAGGCUUCUUGAAGGGAGCCUACAAAGGUAGGAGACACAUUCCUAUCAUCUUUCCCACAUUCCUUUAUUCCUUCCCAGCUGCUUGGAAUAUGGACACUUGGCUACAUCUCCAGGAGUCAUACUAGACCAUGAACCAGCCCUGAAAUUGGGAGUUAUAUGCUAGGAUGGUGAAAAAGAAAGCUGCUACAGCACGUUAUUCUUUUUAUUUUCAGACUUCUUUUACAUAAGAGAGAAAGACUUCCAUCUUACUUAAGCCGCUAUCAUUUUAGUUUUCUAAUAAGCAGGUGAGCCCGAUACGAGAUGAUAUGGUAAUCAAGAAACUCGGUUGUAUUCAUUGUAAUAUUAUAUUCUAUGUCAAUGUCCUCCAGGCAAAGACCACCAGGAACACAACUAAACACGUUGCAGCAAGAAGAACAUACAGCAUGGGGAGCCAGGGGUGUCUCCUAAGAAUGGGCUGGACAGGACAUAAAGGAUUUGGGCUUGAGUUGUAG
rnacentral:lncRNA from 13 species